CAGGAAAAUGAAUUAAUGUGGAGUGAGGGGAGAACAUGUUGAUUUCUUCAGAUCAAAUGAACAGCUUCAUUUUCAAGCUCAUUAAGCAUUCUCCCAUUCCUUUGUGAGUCUUCUUCAGCUCAAUAAAGAAGGAAACCCAUCCUGAAGUGCACCAGCACUAUGAGUAUUGAUUUGUUGUCUAAUAACUAAAGCGGAUUUUACUUAUUUGUCAGUGAGAUUCAAAAUGACCAACAGUGAGGAAUAACAUCUGCUAGUUUUCUCACCAUUCAAAGUAUACUCAAUAACAACGACAAAAUAAUAGCAUUCAGCUUAUCUCCAUUCCUCUCUCACUCUUCUCCAGAUAUUUGACAGGCUAAGUAAUUGGUCACUUUUAUAUUUCAAUGUGAUUUAUAAUAGCAAUAUAGUUUCUGACUUGGGAAAAGUAGAUAUUGAUUUAUGACUUAAAAAUGUUAAAACAUUGAUGUGCCAAAAACAGGUUGAAUAACAAAUGAAUCAUCAAGACUGACUAGGAAUUCUGGAUGUAUUUAAUUGGAUAUGGAAUACCAAGAGGUCUUUGAUAGUGAUCAGAAGACAACAAGGAGAAGGAAGAGGUCCAAGUCUCACCGUUCACUCUUGGUUCUAAUGAAUGAGGCUGGAUGAAGCACUUCACCUUUUUUACAUCGUGGUCUUUUCAUCAAUAAAACACAAUGUGAAGACUGUCUCUGACCUUCUGAGUAAGGAUUUCUUGGCAGUGCUGAACCCAAAAUGUUCCAAGGACUUAAUUCAAGAAAGAUGGGCUCGGAUUGCUUGGGAAUAUGCUACAUUAUUAACAGUGGUGGUAUCGGGUGAUUUUUAUUUCCUGUAGUUGCCAAAAUUUCUGCCAUGAAUAAAUAUUGGUAUUAUAAUUAGGAAAAAUUAAUACAUAUAAUUUAGACAAGAAAAAUGGAUUCAAGCCUCACCAGUGAGCAUCAUUAUGUCUAGAAAGGCAUGUGAGUGCACAACAUUGCAGAAAGAGGACAAUCUGGAGCCCAGAGGAGGGUGUCUGAUGUUUGCUCUUUGCAGCCCUUCAGACCCAAUUGCAGGCUGAUUCCCUCCCUGUCCUGAUUAUAUUUAUAGAUGUUUUUUUCCUUUUAAAAAAGACUCCUUCGGUGUCUUGUCUAUGACUCAUGAAUAGCAUCCCUGGAAAAUCUUAAUUAUAUGAAACUUCAAACUGUGAGGACUAAUUAGCUGUAAGUGUUAAUUGUUCUGCACUCAUCAGAGAAAGAGGUGUUAUAGAAAUAAAGAUUUUUAGCUGUUUUUUGUUAAAGUUGCAAACAAGUUAUUUAAGAUUCAUUCUCUUUGUUGGUUAGUUUUUCCAUGUUGGAUAUCAAAUAUUAUUGUGUGCCGCUCUGUCUACUCUGUUGAGUACCUUCCCUCUCAACUUUGAGUCACAUCAAAUUCUGAUUUGAUUUCUACCUAAGGUAUCCAGUGUCCUGCCUGUGCCUAUGAUGGCCUCCAGAUCAGCACUGCGUCUCCUCAUCCAGUUGUGUCGCUAUCCCCACUGGCCUUCAAGGUCAUGGGACAUUCGUUACCUCUACUAGAUCCCCAGGAGCCCAGAAAAUGAACUCUUUGGAGUCUCUGGAUGCCUGUAGCCAUGCCUUCUUGAUCUCUACAGAGGAACUUGAACUUCACUAAAAUAGGUUUGAUUCACUUGAAGGGAAGACACAGUUUAUGAGCUAGGCUUUCCGUUUUGGUGAAUUCAAGGUUAGCAGAGCUGGCUUAAUUGAAUUUCUUUUCUGCCUCUACAUUUUAAUGCAUUUCCUUUGUACGUAAGUAGUUUAGACAUUAGUGUAUUUUGCAAGUACCUAUGAGACAAAAAUUUUAAAUGGGAGCAUGCUUUCCACAUUUGGAAUUGGUUCACUGCACCUGGUAUAUUCCUAGAAGUCACAAAAUGGCAUUCAUAUGUUUUGGACAACUUUUCUCAGUACCUACUAUUUGCACCCUAAUAGCCACUAUUCCAGAGAAAACUAGAGUAAUUCUGGAAACUGUAGUCAUCAGAUAAUUAAAUCUGUAUGCAUAAAGGAAAAGCUGACAUCUCAGUUUUAAAGAGAAAAAUUUCUUGACAGGUUGACUGCUACUGUUGAGACCUCUUUUAUUAUUGUUCUUAAAGAUCUAAG
rnacentral:lncRNA from 1 species